rnacentral:rRNA from 1 species
AGCAGCCGCGGUAAUUCCAGCUCCAAUAGCGUAUAUUAAAGUUGUUGCAGUUAAAAAGCUCGUAGUUGAAUUUCGGGAUCAGUACGCCGGUCGUGCCUUCGGUAUGCACUGGUGUCACUGGUUUCUCCCUUCUGAAGAACCAUCAUGCCAUUAAGUUGGUGUGGCGGGGAAUCAGGACUGUUACUUUGAAAAAAUUAGAGUGUUUAAAGCAGGCUCGCGCUUGAAUACAUUAGCAUGGAAUAAUGAAAUAGGACGUUUGACCCUAUUUUGUUGGUUUCUAGGAUCGACGUAAUGAUUAAUAGGGAUAGUUGGGGGCAUUAGUAUUCAAUUGUCAGAGGUGAAAUUCUUGGAUUUAUUGAAGACUAACUACUGCGAAAGCAUUUGCCAAGGAUGUUUUCAUUAAUCAAGAACGAAAGUUAGGGGAUCGAAGACGAUCAGAUACCGUCGUAGUCUUAACCAUAAACUAUGCCGACUAGGGAUCGGAUGAUGUUAAUUUUUUAAUGACUCAUUCGGCGCCUUACG